rnacentral:rRNA from 1 species
UACAGAGGUCCCAAGCGUUGUUCGGAUUCACUGGGCGUAAAGGGUGCGUAGGUGGCCAGGUAAGUUCGGUGUGAAAGCUCGGAGCUUAACUCCGAAAAGUCAUUGAAUACUAUCUGGCUGGAGGGUCGGAGGGGAGACUGGAAUUCUCGGUGUAGCAGUGAAAUGCGUAGAUAUCGAGAGGAACACCAGUGGCGAAGGCGAGUCUCUGGACGACUCCUGACACUGAGGCACGAAAGCUAGGGGAGCAAACAGG